AGAGGAAGUAAAAGUCGUAACAAGGUUUCCGUAGGUGAACCUGCGGAAGGAUCAUUAUCGAAUUACUCGAGGGUUGUUGCUGGAAUCCCUAACCGGGAUUCAAAGUGCACGCCCUUGUCUACAUUCUCAAACCCCUGUGCACUUAUUGUAGGCUCGGUGGAAAGGCUGACUUCACGGUUGGCCUGAAAGCCUUGCCUAUGCUUUAACACACGCUUCAGUCUAUGAAUGUCAUUUUGCGGAUAACGCAUUUAAAUACAACUUUCAACAACGGAUCUCUUGGCUCUCGCAUCGAUGAAGAACGCAGCGAAAUGCGAUAAGUAAUGUGAAUUGCAGAAUUCAGUGAAUCAUCGAAUCUUUGAACGCACCUUGCGCUCCUUGGUAUUCCGAGGAGCAUGCCUGUUUGAGUGUCAUGGAAUUCUCAACCUUCAACACUUUUGUGAAGAAGGCUUGGACUUGGAGGCCGUGUUGGCUGGCAACAGUCGACUCCUCUGAAAUGUAUUAGUUGCGAACCUUACGGAUCGCUUCGGUGUGAUAAUUGUCUACGCCGUGGUGUUGAAGUAUAGCAGUGUUCGAGCUUCUAACAGUCCGCAAGGACAAUUUUUUGACAAUCUGACCUCAAAUCAGGUAGGACUACCCGCUGAACUUAAGCAUAU
rnacentral:rRNA from 1 species